CCUACGGGAGGCAGCAGUGGGGAAUAUUGCACAAUGGGGGAAACCCUGAUGCAGCGACGCCGCGUGAGUGAAGAAGUAUUUCGGUAUGUAAAGCUCUAUCAGCAGGGAAGAAAAUGACGGUAACUGAUUAAGAAGCCCCGGCUAACUACGUGGCAGCAGCCGCGGUAAUACGUAGGGGGCAAGCGUUAUCCGGAUUUACUGGGGGUAAGGGGAGCGUAGACGGCAGCACAAGUCUGGAGUGAAAGGCCGGGGCUUAACCCCGGAACUGCUUUGGAAACUGUGCAGCUAGAGUGCAGGAGAGGUAAGUGGAAUUCCUAGUGUAGCGGUGAAAUGCGUAGAUAUUAGGAGGAACACCAGUGGCGAAGGCGGCUUACUGGACUGUAACUGACGUUGAGGCUCGAAAGCGUGGGGAGCAAACAGGAUUAGAUACCCUGGUAGUC
rnacentral:rRNA from 1 species